rnacentral:rRNA from 1 species
UGCGCAGGCGGGCUUGUAAGUCAGUGGUGAAAUACUGCCGCUUAACGGUAGAACUGCCAUUGAUACUGCAAGUCUUAAAUAUGGUUGAGGUAGGCGGAAUGUGUUGUGUAGCGGUGAAAUGCAUAGAUAUGACACAGAACGCCGAUUGCGAAGGCAGCUUACUAAGCCAUUAUUGACGCUGAGGCACGAAAGCGUGGGGAGCGAACAGGAUUAGAUACCCUGGUAGUCC